GCCUGGGCUGAUAUAUCAGUCUCAACUGUGGUCCAAGCUUUCACGAAGGCAGGAAUAAUCACUGAACUGCCAGGCAACAGCAGCGACACAGACUCGGAUAAUGACGAGAGGGAGCCGGGCAUGUUGGAUGCCGUACUCGCCCAACUGUUCAAUUCGGACACUGAAGAAGAAGAAUUCGAGGGAUUCGUGGACGGGGAAUGAACUGAAAAAGUCGCCCCCCCCUGGUCUAGUCCUCCCCCCGGCUUCCUGCUUCUGCCUUAAUGGCUUGUAUAUUCUGGAGAACAGCAUUCGUAGAGACCGGCUGGCAGAGAUUCUGGAACGACGGGGAAAGGAAUACAAGAAACACCAUGCCAGGAACGCAUCGCCACUAGUACCAGGGGCAUUGGAUUCAGAUGAGAAAGGGGAUAAGCUCGAGUUUGAAUACACUCCUCUUAGCUCCAUCCAACUCUCCACUGCAGUAUCCCAUUCAGGGUUUCACAGUUCGCCCCAUGGUCCCCACUCUCAUUCCAGGUAUCACUAAAUGGUGCCAAAGGUGUGCUCCGUCUAGGGACCCCAAGUGAAGCAGAGUGUCGAAGUUGCCUUAUUAGGUCCUCCACAGUCGCCCCAUCAGUCCCUGGCAGUCUGGUCCCUGGAGCAGCUGGCCCUGGCAAAAGUUAUUCCUUCACUGUUGACCCCUGACUGACUGGCCCUCGGCACACAAAUCCCUGGAUCACCCGCCACUGGAUCACCUGCCCCUGAAUCACCUGCCCCUGGCAAUGUGGCCUCUUGAUUGCUCUCUCUGUCUCCUGUGAUGUCCUUUUCAACGCUCUUGAAAUCCACCUAAAUUUCUCCCUCAAUCUCUGUAACAAUUACAAGGUAAUGUUGCUGUUAUAUGUAUUUUGCCUUUGCAUUUGCAACUACUGUCAUCUCCAAUGUAAGAAAAUGAAUUAAAGCAAAACAUUUCUGUAAUGUGAAUUAAAUCAUCUGCCACAAUCAGAAACCAAUACAAUUUAUAAAAUGGAUCUACCGGCAAUUGUUAAUUGGGUAGAAAUGUGUCGAUUAUCUACAUUGUGUGCAAAUCCUCAGAGAAUCC
ensembl:lncRNA